UACGAAGGGGGCUAGCGUUGUUCGGAAUUACUGGGCGUAAAGGGCGCGUAGGCGGCGUGUCAAGUCAGGCGUGAAAGCCCCGGGCUCAACCUGGGAACCGCGCUUGAGACUGGCAUGCUCGAGUUCGGGAGAGGAUGGUGGAAUUCCCAGUGUAGAGGUGAAAUUCGUAGAUAUUGGGAAGAACACCGGUGGCGAAGGCGGCCUGCUGGGCAGUAGCUGACACUGAGGCGCGACAGCGUGGGGAGCAAACGGG
rnacentral:rRNA from 1 species